AUUGAACGCUGGCGGCAGGCCUAACACAUGCAAGUCGAGCGCGCGGCGGACGGGUGAGUAAUGUCUGGGAAACUGCCUGCUGGAGGGGGAUAACUACUGGAAACGGUAGCUAAUACCGCAUACCAUCAGAUCUGUCCAGAUGGGAUUAGCUAGUAGGUGGGUUAAAGGCUGACCUAGGCGACGAUCCCUAGCUGGUCUGAGAGGAUGACCAGCCACACUGGAACUGAGACACGGUCCAGACUCCUAUGGGAGGCAGCAGUGGGGAAUAUUGCACAAUGGGCGCAAGCCUGAGGCAGCCAUGCCGCGUGUGUGAAGAAGGCCUUCGGGUUGUAAAGCACUUUCAGCGGGGAGGCGUUACCCGCAGAAGAAUCACCGGCUAACUCCGUGCCAGCAGCCGCGGUAAUUC
rnacentral:rRNA from 1 species